rnacentral:rRNA from 1 species
AUGAAUGAUAAUUCUGUAAAUUGGCGCUUUACGGGUUUCUAUGGUUAUCCUGGAUGGAAUGAAAAAUAUUUAUCUUGGGUUGAUCUUCGCCAACUACAUUCCCGUGCUGAUUAUCCUUGGGUAGUCAUUGCAGAUUUUAAUGAAAUUAUCUACUCUAACGAAAAAUAAGGCGGCAAUGCUAGACCAAAUGAAAUGAUGCAGGAAUUUUGUAAGUGCUUGAGUGAUUGUCUGGAGGAUAUGGGCUGUGUUGGUGAUCUAUUCACUUGGAGAAGGGGGGACAUCCGUGAAAUUGUUGAUCAAGCUAUCUGUAAUUUAGAUUGGGCAAAUAAAUUUCCGCGUGCUGUGAUUAUUAAUGGCGAGCAUGUACACUCAGACCAUCAUCCUUUAAUUCUUGACACAAAUUAUUUUGAUAGUAACUUGUUCAAUCGUCGGAAUGGUCGUGUCAGACAAUUUGAAGCAAAAUGGCUGAAAGAAGAUACUAUUGAGGAGAUUGUGAAAAUUGCUUGGGAAAAAGCAAAGUUGGCGGGUAUUAGUCCCUCUCUCGCAGCACGGACUAGAGCAGUGCAUGAUGAUUUACAUUCUUGGGACCGAAUUACUUUGAAAGGACCAAAGAGGAGAAUAAAUAAGUUAAAAAAGAACUAG